rnacentral:lncRNA from 1 species
UACUUCUAUGUGCCAGACCUGGGCCAGGUGCCUGAGAUUGAUGUUCCAUCCUACCUGCCUGACCUGCCCAGCAUUGCCAACGACCUCAUGUACAUUGCCGACCUGGGCCCCGGCAUUGCCCCCUCUGCCCCUGGCACCAUUCCAGAACUGCCCACCUUCCACACUGAGGUAGCCGAGCCUCUCAAGGCAGGUCUACAAGAUGGGGUACUAACACCACCCCCACCGCCCCCACCACCACCCCCAGCUCCUGAGGUGCUGGCCAGUGCACCCCCACUCCCACCCUCAACCGCGGCCCCUGUAGGCCAAGGCGCCAGGCAGGACGACAGCAGCAGCAGCACGUCUCCUUCAGGUGGGAGCAGCUCUUUGAGGCCACCUGAUUUCUGGCGUGCUCAGUGCACUCGGGUGGAUUUUCUGUGGGUUUGUUAAGUG